rnacentral:rRNA from 1 species
CCUACGGGAGGCAGCAGUAGGGAAUCUUUCACAAUGGGCGAAAGCCUGAUGGAGCAACGCCGCGUGCAGGAUGAAGGCCUUCGGGUUGUAAACUGCUUUUAUAAGCGAGAAAUAUGAUGGUAACUUAUGAAUAAGGAUCGGCUAACUACGUGCCAGCAGCCGCGGUCAUACGUAGGAUCCGAGCAUUAUCCGGAGUGACUGGGUGUAAAGAGUUGCGUAGGUGGCAUAAUAAGUAGCUAGUGAAAUCUGGUGGCUCAACCAUUCAGACUAUUAGCUAAACUGGUAAGCUCGAGACCGUUAGGGGUAACUGGAAUUUCUAGUGUAGGAGUGAAAUCCGUAGAUAUUAGAAGGAACACCACUAGCGUAGGCAGGUUGCUGGGACGGUUCUGACACUAAGGCACGAAAGCGUAGGGAGCAAACGGGAUUAGAUACCCGUGUAGUC